AUGGGCGUUGGCGGUGACGCCCAACACGAUGCAUGAGCAAUAGUGCCCCCACCCUGCCGAUGUGCACACGACGACAGUUCCCUGAGGGAGCAUGGCGGCUGCAGCCAUCUGAGGCAGGAGCGGAGGCGGUUGCGGCCAUCCGAGGCAGGAGCGGAGGUGGCAGCUACGGCCUCCCCUAGGUGUGAGCAGCGAUGGCGGAUCCUAGAGGCACGCUUCGCAGCGGUGGCCACCUGAGGCGCGCGCGACGGCGGUGGCUCCCUGAGGCGAGUGCGGCGGCGACGACCUACUCCAAUCAAUGUUUAUGCAUGAGGCUGUUGGUUGGGCACAUAUUAAUACUUUUUCAUCAAUUAUUUAUGCAACUUUUUAUAAGAAUUUAUACUUUUGCAUGAUUCCUGUCAUCCAAUUUUUACGUGUAUGUAGUGAGAAAGAAAAUGUCAUUCAAAAUUUGCAUGCAUGCAAUGAAAACUUUCAUGACCUGCCAUAAUUUUCGGAUCUGCAUAAAAGUAGGAAUCCAAUGCAUGCGUAUGGUAGUUGCCAUAUUUUUCGGACCUGACAUAAAAAUAGGAUCGCAUGCAUGCUCCUGGUGGGGAACACGCCCGUAUGCAUGUGUCUUGUGGAGGGACGACAUACAAUCGCAUACAUAUUUUUAUGCUACUUUGUAUACAUAUAUAUGCCAACGUCGAUAAAUUUUUAGGAUACAUUGUCAGCUCAUGACAACCCUUCCAUCUAUUGUAUGUUUAUGAUAUUUCAAUUCAUAUUUU
rnacentral:lncRNA from 7 species